UUGCACGCUGGCGGCCUGCCUUACACCUGCCAGUCGAACGGUAACGGGCCUUCGGGUGCCGCCGCGUGGCGAACGGGUGAGUAAUACAUCGGAACGUGCCCGAUCGUGGGGGAUAACGAGGCGAAAGCUUUGCUAAUACCGCAUACGAUCUACGGAUGAAAGCAGGGGACCGCAAGGCCUUGCGCGGACGGAGCGGCCGAUGGCAGAUUAGGUAGUUGGUGGGAUAAAAGCUUACCAAGCCGACGAUCUGUAGCUGGUCUGAGAGGAUGAUCAGCCACACUGGGACUGAGACACGGCCCAGACUCCUACGGGAGGCAGCAGUGGGGAAUUUUGGACAAUGGGCGCAAGCCUGAUCCAGCCAUGCCGCGUGCAGGAUGAAGGCCUUCGGGUUGUAAACUGCUUUUGUACGGAACGAAAAGCCUUCUUUUAAUACAGGAGGGUCAUGACGGUACCGUAAGAAUAAGCACCGGCUAACUACGUG
rnacentral:rRNA from 1 species